AAUGAACGCUGGCGGCAUGCCUAACACAUGCAAGUCGAACGAAGGCUUCGGCCUUAGUGGCGCACGGGUGCGUAACGCGUGGGAAUCUGCCCUUGGGUUCGGAAUAACUCAGAGAAAUUUGAGCUAAUACCGGAUGAUGUCGCAAGACCAAAGAUUUAUCGCCCAAGGAUGAGCCCGCGUAGGAUUAGCUAGUUGGUGGGGUAAAGGCCCACCAAGGCGACGAUCCUUAGCUGGUCUGAGAGGAUGAUCAGCCACACUGGGACUGAGACACGGCCCAGACUCCUACGGGAGGCAGCAGUGGGGAAUAUUGGACAAUGGGCGAAAGCCUGAUCCAGCAAUGCCGCGUGAGUGAUGAAGGCCUUAGGGUUG
rnacentral:rRNA from 1 species